UGAACUGAAGAAUAGGGUUCGUUCCAGA
rnacentral:sRNA from 1 species